rnacentral:rRNA from 1 species
GUUAGGAAUAUUGGACAAUGGGCGCAAGCCUGAUCCAGCCAUGCCGCGCGAGUGAUGAAGGCCUUCGGGUUGUAAAGCUCUUUAGCCGAUGAUUAUAAUGACUGUAGUCGGAAAAUAAGCCCCGGCUAACUUCGUGCCAGCAGCCGCGGUAAUACGAAGGGGGCGAGCGUUAUUCGGAAUCACUGGGCGUAAAGCGUGCGUAGGCGUCUUUGCAAGUUGGGAGUGAAAGCCCAGGGCUCAACCCUGGAAUUGCGCUCAAAACUGCAAGGCUCGAAUUCGGGAGAGGAUAGCGGAAUUGUCAGUGUAGCAGUGAAAUGCGUAGAUAUUGACAGGAACACCAGUGGCGUAAGCGGCUAUCUGGACCGAUAUUGACGCUGAGGCACGAAAGCGUGGGGAUCAAACAGGAUUAGAAACCCUUGUAGUCC